GUGUCAGCCGCCGCGGUAAUACGAAGGGGGCUAGCGUUGCUCGGAAUUACUGGGCGUAAAGGGCGCGUAGGCGGCUUAGUUAGUCAGGCGUGAAAGCCCUGGGCUCAACCUGGGGACUGCGCUUGAUACGGCUGGGCUAGAGGAUGGAAGAGGGUCGCGGAAUUCCCAGUGUAGAGGUGAAAUUCGUAGAUAUUGGGAAGAACACCGGUGGCGAAGGCGGCGACCUGGUCCAUUACUGACGCUGAGGCGCGACAGCGUGGGGAGCAAACAGGAUUAGAUACCCUUGUAGUCC
rnacentral:rRNA from 1 species